UUUCAGUUAAAUUUAAGGGUAUUUUCAUCAAUUAAUUGUAACAAAGAAUAAUUACAUAAAAAAAAAGAAUUAAAAAUACAAAAAAAAUAAAAUAAAGCUAACCUCCAUAUCUCUCUCUCUUCUCUCUACUCCAUCGUCUUUAUUCCACCAGAUAUCAUAUUAGAUUGCAAUGGUCCAUUGUUUUUGUUGCCUUCCUGUAUUUC
rnacentral:lncRNA from 1 species